rnacentral:rRNA from 1 species
GUGGGGAAUAUUGGACAAUGGGCGAAAGCCUGAUCCAGCCAUGCCGCGUGUGUGAAGAAGGUCUUCGGAUUGUAAAGCACUUUAAGUUGGGAGGAAGGGUAGUAACCUAAUACGUUGCUACUUUGACGUUACCGACAGAAUAAGCACCGGCUAACUUCGUGCCAGCAGCCGCGGUAAUACGAAGGGUGCAAGCGUUAAUCGGAAUUACUGGGCGUAAAGCGCGCGUAGGUGGUUCAGUAAGUUGGAAGUGAAAUCCCCGGGCUCAACCUGGGAACUGCUUUCAAAACUGCUGAGCUAAAGUACGGUAGAGGGUGGUGGAAUUUCCUGUGUAGCGGUGAAAUGCGUAGAUAUAGGAAGGAACACCAGUGGCGAAGGCGACCACCUGGACUGAUACUGACACUGAGGUGCGAAAGCGUGGGGAGCAAACAGGAUUAGAAACCCUGGUAGUCC